AUUUAUAUAAACUUCUAUUUGGCAACCGAAUAGAGCUCUCUCCGCAUCUGGCGGAGCCCCCUGCGACUUUUUCCUCCUCCCUGCCUUCGCUUCGGUCGUUCCGUACGGCGCGGCGUCCCCCCCCUGCGACUUUUUCCGCCUCCGCCUUCGCUUCGGUCUCCUCCCCGCCUUUGCUUCGGUCGUUCCGUACGGCGCGGCGUUCCCCCCCUGCGACUUUUCCCUCCUCCCCGC
rnacentral:lncRNA from 1 species